AUUGAACGCUGGCGGCAGGCCUAACACAUGCAAGUCGAGCGAGCGGCGGACGGGUGAGUAAUGUCUGGGAAACUGCCUGAUGGAGGGGGAUAACUACUGGAAAAGGUAGCUAAUACCGCAUACCCUCAGAUGUGCCCCGAGGGGCUUAGCUAGUAGGUGGGGUAACGGCUCACCUAGGCGACGAUCCCUAGCUGGUCUGAGCGGAUGACCAGCCACACUGGAACUGUGACACGGUCCAGACUCCUACGGGAGGCAGCAGGGGGGAAGAUUGCACAAGGGGCGCAAGCCUGAUGCAGCCAUGCCGCGUGUGUGAAGAAGGCCUUCGGGUUGUAAAGCACUUUCAGCGGGGAGGCGUGACCCGCAGAAGAAGCACCGGCUAACUCCGUGCCAGCCGCCGCGGUAAUUC
rnacentral:rRNA from 1 species